rnacentral:misc_RNA from 1 species
GUAAUAUUUCAGCACACUCACUUGACAAUACAUGCAAUACAUUAGAUCUGACUGAAGCAAUAUGUUAAUUUAAAGUCUUCACGAAGUAGAGGUAGACCCAUACCUUGAAGUUGAGCUGCAAGAGCCUCCUGUUGAUGAGCACAUUGAACAUUAAGUUCUC